rnacentral:rRNA from 1 species
CUACCCUUGACAUGUCCGGAACCCUGCUGAGAGGUGGGGGUGCCCGAAAGGGAAUCGGAACACAGGUGCUGCAUGGCUGUCGUCAGCUCGUGUCGUGAGAUGUUGGGUUAAGUCCCGCAACGAGCGCAACCCUUGUCCCUAGUUGCUACGCAAGGGCACUCUAGGGAGACUGCCGGUGACAAACCGGAGGAAGGUGGGGAUGACGUCAAGUCCUCAUGGCCCUUAUGGGUAGGGCUUCACACGUCAUACAAUGGACGGUACAGAGGGUUGCCAACCCGCGAGGGGGAGCCAAUCCCAGAAAGCCGUUCGUAGUCCGGAUCGCAGUCUGCAACUCGACUGCGUGAAGUCGGAAUCGCUAGUAAUCGCGGAUCAGCAUGCCGCGGUGAAUACGUUCCC